AACGAACGCUGGCGGCAUGCUUAACACAUGCAAGUCGAACGCAGGGCUUCGGCCCUGAGUGGCGCACGGGUGAGUAGCGCGUGGGAACCUGCCCAGCAGUACGGAAUAACCACGGGAAACUGUGGCUAAUACCGUAUGCGCCGGAGAAAUCCGGGAAAGAUUUAUCGCUGUUGGAGGGGCCCGCGUCGGAUUAGCUAGUUGGUGGGGUAACGGCCUACCAAGGCAUUGAUCCGUAGCUGGUCUGAGAGGAUGAUCAGCCACACUGGGACUGAGACACGGCCCCAGACUCCUACGGGAGGCAGCAGUGGGGAAUAUUGGACAAUGGGGGAAACCCUGAUCCAGCGAUGCCGCGUGUGCGAAGAAGGCCUGCGGGUUGUAAAGCACUUUAGUGGGGAAGAAAGUUCAGUAGUCGAAUAGGCUAUUGAUUUGACGUUACCCAAAGAAUAAGCACCGGCUAACUCUGUGCCAG
rnacentral:rRNA from 1 species